rnacentral:rRNA from 1 species
CCUACGGGCGGCAGCAGUGGGGAAUAUUGGACAAUGGGCGAAAGCCUGAUCCAGCCAUGCCGCGUGUGUGAAGAAGGCCUUCGGGUUGUAAAGCACUUUCAGUGGGGAAGAAAGCCUUGGGGCUAAUACCCUCGAGGAAGGACAUCACCCACAGAAGAAGCACCGGCUAACUCCGUGCCAGCAGCCGCGGUAAUACGGAGGGUGCGAGCGUUAAUCGGAAUUACUGGGCGUAAAGCGCGCGUAGGCGGCCUGAUAAGCCGGUUGUGAAAGCCCCGGGCUCAACCUGGGAACGGCAUCCGGAACUGUCAGGCUAGAGUGCAGGAGAGGAAGGUAGAAUUCCCGGUGUAGCGGUGAAAUGCGUAGAGAUCGGGAGGAAUACCAGUGGCGAAGGCGGCCUUCUGGACUGACACUGACGCUGAGGUGCGAAAGCGUGGGUAGCAAACAGGAUUAGAUACCCCAGUAGUC